GACGAAUGCUGGCGGUGUGCUUAACACAUGCAAGUCGAACGGUAAGGCCCUUUCGGGGGUACACGAGUGGCGCACGGGUGCGUAACACGUGAGUAACCUGCCCUCCUCUCUGGGAUAACAGUCGGAAACGGUUGCUAAUACUGGAUAUGAGCUUGCAAGGCCUCUUGUGGGUUGGAAAGAUUUUUUUGGUUGGGGAUGGACUCGCGGCCUAUCAGCUUGUUGGUGAGGUAGUGGCUCACCAAGGCUUCGACGGGUAGCCGGCCUGAGAGGGCGACCGGCCACAGUGGGACUGAGACACGGCCCAGAGUCCUACGGGAGGCAGCAGUAGGGAAUCUUCGGCAAUGGACGGAAGUCUGACCGAGCAACGCCGCGUGAGUGAAGAAGGUUUUCGGAUCGUAAAGCUCUGUUGUAAGAGAAGAACGAGUGUGAGAGUGGAAAGUUCAGACUGUGACGGUAUCUUACCAGAAAGGGACGGCUAACUACGUG
rnacentral:rRNA from 1 species